rnacentral:rRNA from 1 species
AUGUACUAGCCUGCCGAUUCCUCCUUCUUGUAGAACCGUAAUGCCAUUAAUUUGGUGUUGCGGGGAAACAGGACUGUUACUUUGAAAAAAUUAGAGUGUUUAAAGCAGGCUAGCGCCUGAAUACAUUAGCAUGGAAUAAUGAAAUAGGACGUUCGAACCUAUUUUGUUGGUUUCUAGGAUUGACGUAAUGAUUAAUCGGGAUAGUUGGGGGCAUUAGUAUUCAAUUGUCAGAGGUGAAAUUCUUGGAUUUAUUGAAGACUGACUACUGCGAAAGCAUUUGCCAAGGAUGUUUUCAUUAAUCAAGAACGAAAGUUAGGGGAUCGAAGACGAUCAGAUACCGUCGUAGUCUUAACCAUAAACUAUGCCGACUAGGGAUCGGAUGAUGUUAAUUUUUUAAUGACUCAUUCGGCGCCUUACG